AGUUGAAGAGCACCAGUGCAGACGUGUAAGAAGAACCUAUGUUUUCAAAUCAGUGAAGAUGUGGCCACCUUUCCAGAGAAUUGGAGCAAGUCCAGAAGUAUGGGGAAGCAGCAGAAGAACCUAGCACUACCCUGGACAUAUCAUCUGGCAAAGAGAUUUGCAGAGUGUCGGGUGACCGGCAAAGAGAUCUGCAAAGUGUCAGUUGAAGACGACAGGAGGGGUCGCAGAGGUACUGUAGCAACGACUGGAGUAUAACAUGCAGGAGAUCAUCAUUUGGCAAAGUUCUGGCAAAGAGAUUUGCAGAGUGUCGGGUGACCGGCAAAGAGAUCUGUAAAGUGUCAGUUGAAGACGACGGGAGGGGUCACGGAGGAAUUAGUGACUGGAGAAUAGCAUGCAGGAGUGGGUGAUCCCUGAAUAGCUGCCCUGGAAGGAGAGCUGCGGACACAUGCUCCAAAUGUUGGAACAUAUGCAUUACCUAUUAGGAGAUACGGUAAAGAUGCCGGCUGUCGGGUUUACGGCAGUCAGAAUACUGACACUGGGAUCCCGACACUCUUCAGAAUCCCGACGUUGGAACUCCGAAUGGGCAAGGAUACUGAUGCCCAUAUCCCCACGAUCAUAGGUUUAGGGCUGGGCAAGGGGAUUAAGGUUUAGGCAUCAAG